rnacentral:rRNA from 1 species
GCAUAUCAAUAAGCGGAGGAAAAGAAACCAACAGGGAUUGCCCUAGUAACGGCGAGUGAAGCGGCAACAGCUCAAAUUUGAAAUCUGGCUCUUUCAGGGUCCGAGUUGUAAUUUGCAGAGGGCGCUUUGGCGUUGGCAGCGGUCCAAGUUCUUUGGAACAGGACAUCAUAGAGGGUGAUAAUCCCGUCUGUUACUGGUUGUGAGGUUCGUUAUGAUACGCUUUCAAAGAGUCGAGUUGUUUGGGAUUGCAGCUCCAAAUGGGUGGUAAACAUCACCUAAGGCUAAAUAUUUGCGAGAGACCGAUAGCGAACAAGUAUCGUGAGGGAAAGAUGAAAAGAACUUUGAAAAGAGAGUUAAAAAGUAUGUGAAAUUGUUGAAAGGGAAACGAUUGAAGUCAGUCGUGCAGUCAUCAAUUCAGCGGUUAACAUUUUAUGUUUCCGUGUAAUUUGGUGUCUGUUGGUUAGCAUCAAUUUUGAUUGUUAUAAAAAGGUUAAGGGGAUGUGGCUCCUUCGGGAGUGUUAUAACCCUUAGCGUAAUGUAACGAUUAGGAUUGAGGUUUGCAACGAAUACCUUUUAGGGCAGUUUCACCUGGCCUCUCGUGGAAUUAUAGAUAGUUAAGAGCAUGCUCUUACUGUCUAUGAUUCUACGAAAAGGUUGGAGUGUAAAACUAAUUCGUUAAGGAUGUUGACGUA